AUUGAACGCUGGCGGCAUGCCUUACACAUGCAAGUCGAACGGUAACAGGUUAAGCUGACGAGUGGCGAACGGGCGAGUAAUGUAUCGGAACGUGCACAGUCGCGGGGGAUAACUGCUCGAACGAGCAGCUAAUACCGCAUACGAACUGUGGGUGAAAGCGGGGGAUCGCAAGACCUCGCGCGAUUGGAGUGGCCGAUAUCAGAUUAGGUAGUUGGUGAGGUAAAGGCUCACCAAGCCGACGAUCUGUAGCUGGUCGGAGAGGACGACCAGCCACACUGGGACUGAGACACGGCCCAGACUCCUACGGGAGGCAGCAGUGGGGAAUUUUGGACAAUGGGCGCAAGCCUGAUCCAGCCAUGCCGCGUGCGGGAAGAAGGCCUUCUGGUUGUAAACCGCUUUUGUCAGGGAAGAAAAGGUUCUGGCUAAUACCUGGGACUCAUGACGGUACCUGAAGAAUAAGCACGGGCUAACUACGUG
rnacentral:rRNA from 1 species